CCUUUACAAAUUGACCUGCACGUACAACGUCGUCUCUCCAUGAAAUUCUAAUAGCGUCUUGCAUCUAUGCUGAUACUCAUCCGCUUGAACGUUGCAUGUACCGGUGCAUCGAAUCUUACGUAUUUUCAAGACGGCCUCCAUUAAAUACGGAUAGAAAUACUCGGGGCAGUCGGCACGCACAGUGCGGAGAAUGACGAUCAUUAAAUUUUUCUAAGCAUACAUCAAAGACAAUGUAUCAGACAUGGAUAUCCAUAGGACGUUCGCGGGACAUCUGUAUGAAAUCCGUUGUUACCAGUUAAAUAUCAGUGUCUGAUCGAUUUUAAAGUGGAAAAAAUUAUUAUUCCGUAACUCCAAAGAAGAAAAUUGUAUACAAAAGUGAAAUAGCGAAGGAAUCAAUAAAUGAAUGGUGU